UGCUGUGUUGAGUGGUUAUAUUACUACCUUAAAAAAUAAUAAACAGAAACUCAAGGUAGUAAUAUAACCACUCAGCACGGCAUAUUUCAACAGUG